rnacentral:rRNA from 1 species
GAUGAACGCUGACAGAAUGCUUAACACAUGCAAGUCUUUGGCGAAGCUGUGCUCGCCCAGCCUAGCCAAGGCGGACGGGUAAGUAACGCGUAAGGAACUUGCCCUGCAGUCAGGGAUAACAGACGGAAACGACUGAUAAGACCUGGUAAAGUCAGGCGGACUCAUGUCCAGCCUGAUGAAAAGAGAUGCUGCAGGAGAGCCUUGCGUCCUAUUAGCUUGUUGGUGGGGUAACGGCCCACCAAGGCGAUGAUAGGUAGCCGGCCUGAGAGGGUGGACGGCCACAAGGGGACUGAGAUACGGCCCUUACUCCUACGGGAGGCAGCAGUGGGGAAUAUUGGACAAUGGGGGCAACCCUGAUCCAGCAAUUCUGUGUGCACGAUGAAGGUUUUCGGAUUGUAAAGUGCUUUCAGCAGGGAAGAAAAAAAUGACGGUACCUGCAGAAGAAGCGACGGCUAAAUACGUG